rnacentral:rRNA from 1 species
CCUACGGGAGGCAGCAGUGGGGAAUAUUGGGCAAUGGGCGCAAGCCUGACCCAGCAACGCCGCGUGAAGGAAGAAGGCUUUCGGGUUGUAAACUUCUUUUGUCAGGGACGAAGCAAGUGACGGUACAUGACGAAUAAGCCACGGCUAACUACGUGUCAGCAGCCGCGGUAAUACGGAGGGGGCAAGCGUGAUCCGGAUUUACUGGGGGUAAAGGGCGUGUAGGCGGGACUGGAAGUCAGAUGUGAAAGCCAAGGGCUCAACCUGUGGCCUGCAUUUGAAACUGUAGUUCGUGAGUACUGGAGGGGCAGGCGGAAUUCCUGGUGGAGCGGUGAAAUGCGUAGAUAUUAGGAGGAACACCAGUGGCGAAGGCGGUCUGCUGGACAGCAACUGACGCUGAGGCGCGAAAGCGUGGGGAGCAAACAGGAUUAGAUACCCGAGUAGUC